rnacentral:rRNA from 1 species
CCCUUAGAUGUUCUGGGCUGCACACGUGCUACACUGGCAGGUUCAGCGAGCUUCAUGCCCUGAUCUGAAAGGAACGGGAAAUCUUUUCAAAACCUGCCGUGCUUGGGAUAGAUGUUUGCAAUUAUUCAUCUUCAACGAGGAUUGCCUUGUAAGCGCACGUCAUCAGCGUGCAUUGAAUACGACCCUGUAUUCUGUACACACCGCCCGUCGCUCCUACCGAUUGAAGUUUUCGGUGAGUUGACAGGAGGAUUUUUUUGAAACUGGUUCGCCAGUGGAUUUUAGAUCCAAAUGCCAACGAAUCGAUGGCUUUAGAGGAAGGAGAAGUCGUAACA